AGCCUCAGCUGCCUGUUGGGAGCUUUAUUUUGGUGCGUUUACCUGGAAAAAGCAGUGAGGCCUCAAAUAAGAAUUUUCGUGGCUAGAUGGAUAAGCYGUGACCCCAGCUGUCUUUGCCUUGCUUUGCUGCUUAAUGUCGUAACAGCAGCUCGGGACCCCAGAAUAAAAACUGUUACAGUGCUUAAGGGAGGAUCUGCGUUUGCCCAGGUUAGGGGAUGGUCGUUAAAGCUUUUUGGGGGAGGGAGGGGGGGGGAAGCUCCAAAAGGAGACUCUCCCAGUGACCUUGGUGGUCUGAUUCAUUUGCAGGCUGAYGUUCUGAGGGCCAGCAACUUGAAGAGGAGCAGCUCAGCCCGUUUUGUUGAUUUCAGUGAUAUCGUUUUAAGGAAGCAUGUGCUGAAGCAUAGUCYGGCAGUCGAAGGAGUGUUGUCACAGCUGGGAGCUCUGUGGAGAUCUGCRGCUGGCCAUGGAGGAUGAGCUCUGACUUGCAGCGUGGGCACAGCUAAAUCCUGGGACUGCACUGUAUGUGAGCAGGGCUGGGAGGUGGAAGGUGGUUUUGCCCUCGGUGGUUACUGGUGUCAUUGGCUGUGGAUGUUUGCCCAUGGARCUGAGAGGACCAAAAAUAUUAAUUGUCUGUAACACAGAUGAAUUAGUGCUUGCAGUGUUUCAGGUAGGUUCAGUGGAGGUGCAGCUUAGUACAGUCCAGUGGCAUGAUUCUUGCACAUGCUCACAUUUGAACGGUGGCUAAAACCAAGCCUAUGAACAGCAACUGUCACGUGAUUUUGGUGUGUGUCUUCCUGUUCUGCUGCCAUUCUAAAUGAAGGGGAAACUUCUUAAACUGUGGGCAAACCCCUUGGCUUCUCUGUACUGUUCUCAUGCUCAUGGGUGCUUUGGUGUUUCUUGCUUAAAGCUGAGGGUUUGAAGUUUUUCACUUAAGGUUUAUUGUUUAGUUUGUUGUUGAGGGUCUGUMACUCAGGGGUUAUGGUGUAUUACUUCAUUUUGUGGGGCUCAGUCUUUAUCAGUCAGAGUUUACAGUUUGUUCAUUUAGCAAUCAGGGUGCAGAAUUUAAAAUCCAACCUCAUCCAUAAAUUUUAAAGCUUUGGCAACCAUUUGAAUUCCAAGAUUUGCAGUUUGUCACUUAGGGUGCAGGGUUUACAGCUCACUGAUAAACGAAAAGGGCUAAAUCCUUGGAUAAUAAACUGUAAGCCCUGAAGCCUAAGCA
rnacentral:lncRNA from 1 species